GCAUAUCCAAUAAGCGGAGGAAAAGAAACCCAACAGGGAUUGCCUCAGUAACGGCGAGUGAAGCGGCAAAAGCUUCAAAUUUGAAAUCUGGCAUUUUCGGAUGGCCGAGUUGUAAUUUGAAGAACAGUUCUUGGAGAGGCGCCUUGUCUAUGUUCCUUGGAACAGGACGUCGCAGAGGGUGAGAAUCCCGUUUGGCGAGGUGUGCUGAUCCGUGUAAGAGCCGUUCGACGAGUCGAGUUGUUUGGGAAUGCAGCUCUAAGUGGGUGGUAAAUUCCAUCUAAAGCUAAAUAUUGGCGAGAGACCGAUAGCGAACAAGUACAGUGAUGGAAAGAUGAAAAGAACUUUGAAAAGAGAGUGAAAAAGUACGUGAAAUUGUUGAAAGGGAAGGUUAUUAGAUCAGACUUGGGGGGCGGUUAUAUUUGUUCUCUUGUAGGGCAUUCACUAGCUGUCGUUUCCCAGGCCAGCAUCGAUUGGGGCGGCGAGAAAAAGAGGGAGGAAUGUGGCUGUGUGCAUUUUGCGUGCAGUGUUUAUAGCCUCUCUUAAUAUCGCCUGGCUCGAUCGAGGACUGCGGCAUUAUUGCCUAGGAUGCUGGCGUAAUGAUCUAAUAUCGCCCGUCUUGAAACACGGACCAAGGAGUCUAACGUCUAUGCGAGUGUUUGGGUGUAAAACCCGUACGCGUAAUGAAAGUGAACGUAGAUUGGAGCCUCUUCUGAGGUGCACAAUCGACCGAUCCGGAAGUAUUCUGAAGGAUUUGAGUAAGAGCAUAGCUGUUGGGACCCCGAAAAGAUGGUGAAACUAUGCCCUGAAUAGGGUGAAAGCCCAGAGGAAACUCUGGUGGAGGCUCGUAGCGGUUUCUGACGUGCAAAUCGCAUCGUCGAAUUUGGGUAUAGGGGGCGAAAGACUAAUCGAACCAUCUAGUAGCUGGUUCUGCG
rnacentral:rRNA from 2 species